rnacentral:rRNA from 1 species
UGCAGCAGGCGCGAAACCUUUACACUGCACGAAAGUGCGAUAAGGGGGACUCCGAGUGUGAAGGCAUAGAGCCUUUCGCUUUUUGUACACCGUAAGGUGGUGUACGAAUAAGGGCUGGGCAAGACCGGUGCCAGCCGCCGCGGUAAUACCGGCAGUCCGAGUGAUGGCCGAUUUUAUUGGGCCUAAAGCGUCCGUAGCUGGCCGGACAAGUCCAUUGGGAAAUCCACCCGCUUAACGGGCGGGCGUCCAGUGGAAACUGUGUGGCUGGGGACCGGAAGACCCGAGGGGUACGUCCGGGGUAGGAGUGAAAUCCCGUAAUCCUGGACGGACCGCCGAUGUUUAAAGCCCUUCAGGAGAACGGAUCCGACAGUUCUCGCCCGCCGCGCCCCG